rnacentral:tRNA from 1 species
GGCGGAUUACCCGAGAGGCCAAAGGGAGCAGACUGUAAAUCUGCCGGGCUACGCCCUACGGUGGUUCGAAUCCAUCAUCCGCCA